AUACACUUAUUCUCUGUCUAGGUCUAUUAUUUGACCUUAAACCAAUCAUUUAAGAUUUUAAUAAUUUUCUAAUUUCUCGGGUUGUCACAGCUGCGAUAACGUCCAACCUCCUCGAAAGUUCUUCAAUCUGUGCUGACAUUGCGGAAAGUGUCGCGAGUCUGUCAAUCUCCGCUCCCCUUGGCUGAGUCAUUCUUGCCAUCCUUCGACUCCCUUGGGUUGCGAUAACCUCCAACGUCUUCGAAGUUGCCUCACUUUGUAUUGGCUCUAUAGAAGAUGUAUUAAGUCCAUCAUUCCAUGUUUCCCUUGGUUGAGUCAUGUUCGUGUAUGGCCAUUAAUACGUAAAGUCAUCCAUGGUACCUGAAAAGAGAGAAAUAUAAGAAGAGAAUUAAAAAUAAAACUAAAAAUGUUUAAAUUAAGACUAAUUUGAUUGAAGUUAAUAUUGGUAAAAAAUAUUAAACUAAUUCCCCGGCAACGGCGCCAAAAACUUGUUGGGUAAAAUCUAGUUACGCACAACAUGCAAGUAUACGUGGUCAACAAGUAAUAAAGUGAUAAGUUGAGUAUCGUUCCCAUAGAGAAUUAGUUAAUAAAAAUUACCAAGUACUAACCCGUAACCAACUCAAUCUUAUUUAAACGAAUGAAUUUCAAAUUAUAUGAAUUAAACUGCUAUUAAAUUCCACUAAUUAAAUUAAGACUACGGAGAUUUAAGAUCACAACUUCACUUAUUGCUUCAUUUAAGUUAACACACUUCUCAUCAAUUAUUCUCUAUCCCGAAUUGUUAAUCAAGAACACUAAAGUAGUAUUUGUGAGAGCCCCGAAUCUGGGCCCCAAAUCACCGCGGAUCCGGUUCACUCAUUCUACUACUAUUGCGGAAGAUAUAAACAUAAAUUGUUUAUACAUUAAACAUUAUACACUAUACCAAGGUCGAGUAACCAUACCUUAUACACAAUUUAUAACUUAUCUAACACAUGACCUCAUUAUCAUACAAGACUAUUACAAAACUAAUCGCGCACAUUAACUUUAAGCUGGAACUGUCUUUAACUUUCCUUGUAUCCGACACAUUCACCUUAAUCUUCAAUGUUUUAUCAUGAUAUAGCAAGGGUGAGCAUGAAAGUUGCCCGACAAGUUUAAAUACAAUUUAAGGAUAUAUCAUGAUUGAAAGAGUAUGAAUAAUAAGCUGGCUAUAAUUGACAAUGUAGUGGUGAAUUAGCAUGAACAAAACUUUUGACUGAACAAGUAUUACAUAUGAACAAUAUAUAUAUAUCCGGACCAAUUGGUAAUGAAGGUGAUCAGCCUUUCAUACCUGACUUAUACGUGCAAUAUAUACAGAGUACAAUUCAACAUGGCAAUCAGCAAUGAUUAACUAUAUGCAUAUCUGAAUAAAACAUUCUUAGUAGAGUUAAGUAGAACUUGCCUGAACCGUUGAUUACCGAUACGAAAUAUAACUUAGCUUAUC
rnacentral:lncRNA from 1 species